AGAAUGCUGAAGUGAAGCUAACAUGAAGAGUCAACCUGGAAGCUCUGCAUAGCAAUUCCUGGAGUAUGGCUGACAUGCUGCAAUAAUAAGGUAUAAUAUUGCAGAUAUAACACCUCCAUAGCAACCUUGGAAAGGCUUCCCAAAGUGCCCAAAGGGAACUGAGAGAAGUUCAAUAUAUUAAAAAGAAAGAAAAAAAUUCUUUUCAAGACCGUGAAAUUAUAGAGCAACUCUGGUAAAGCAGAAGCAGGGGUAACAUUAUAAAGGUCAGACUGGUACCUCAGCAGCACCAGCCCUGCAGUCCUGUACUUGGGAACCAGACCUGUGCACCUCCUGCAGAGCAGUAGAGAAAGCAGCAUCACUGAAAUUCACACAAA
rnacentral:lncRNA from 1 species